GCCAGUGUGGUAUAGUGGUUUGGGUGUGGACUGUGACUCUAGAGGGCAAGGUUCAAUCCCUGCCUUGGGCA